rnacentral:rRNA from 1 species
ACAGCAGCAGCCACGGGAAUACGGAGGGUGCAAGCGUUAAUCGGAAUUACUGGGCGUAAAGCGCACGCAGGCGGUCUGACAAGUCAGAUGUGAAAUCCCCGGGCUUAACCUGGGAACUGCAUUUGAAACUGUCAGGCUGGAGUCUUGUAGAGGGGGGUGGAAUUCCAGGUGUAGCGGUGAAAUGCAUAGAGAUCUGGAGGAAUACCGGUGGCGAAGGCGGCCCCCUGGACAAAGACUGACGCUCAGGUGCGAAAGCGUGGGGAGCAAACAGGAUUAGAUACCCCGGUAGUCCCUGUCUCUUAUAC